ACGGAAGGCAGCAGUGGGGGAUAUUGCACAAUGGGGGAAACCCUGAUGCAGCGACGCCGCGUGAGUGAAGAAGUAUUUCGGUAUGUAAAGCUCUAUCAGCAGGGAAGAAAAUGACGGUACCUGACUAAGAAGCUCCGGCUAAAUACGUGCCAGCAGCCGCGGUAAUACGUAUGGAGCAAGCGUUAUCCGGAUUUACUGGGUGUAAAGGGAGCGUAGACGGAACAGCAAGUCUGAUGUGAAAGGCAGGGGCUCAACUCCUGGACUGCAUUGGAAACUGUUGAUCUUGAGUGCCGGAGAGGUAAGCGGAAUUCCUAGUGUAGCGGUGAAAUGCGUAGAUAUUAGGAGGAACACCAGUGGCGAAGGCGGCUUGCUGGACGACAACUGACGCUGAGGCGCGAAAGCGUGGGGAGCAAACAGGAUUAGAUACCCUGGU
rnacentral:rRNA from 1 species